rnacentral:rRNA from 1 species
GCUACCAUGCAGUCGAACGAUGAUGGAGAGCUUGCUCUUCGGAUUAGUGGCGAACGGGUGAGUAACACGUGAGCAAUCUGCCCUUGACUCUGGGAUAAGCGUUGGAAACGACGUCUAAUACCGGAUACGACCCUUGGAGGCAUCUCCGGGGGUGGAAAGAAUUUUGGUCAGGGAUGAGCUCGCGGCCUAUCAGCUAGUUGGUGAGGUAAUGGCUCACCAAGGCGACGACGGGUAGCCGGCCUGAGAGGGUGACCGGCCACACUGGGACUGAGACACGGCCCAGACUCCUACGGGAGGCAGCAGUGGGGAAUAUUGCACAAUGGGCGAAAGCCUGAUGCAGCAACGCCGCGUGAGGGACGACGGCCUUCGGGUUGUAAACCUCUUUUAGUAGGGAAGAAGCGAAAGUGACGGUACCUGCAGAAAAAGCACCGGCUAACUACGUGCCAGCAGCCGCGGUAAUACGUAGGGUGCAAGCGUUGUCCGGAAUUAUUGGGCGUAAAGAGCUCGUAGGCGGUUUGUCGCGUCUGCUGUGAAAACCCGAGGCUCAACCUCGGGCCUGCAGUGGGUACGGGCAGACUAGAGUGCGGUAGGGGAGAUUGGAAUUCCUGGUGUAGCGGUGGAAUGCGCAGAUAUCAGGAGGAACACCAAUGGCGAAGGCAGAUCUCUGGGCCGUAACUGACGCUGAGGAGCGAAAGCAUGGGGAGCGAACAGGAUUAGAUACCCUGGUAGUCCAUGCCGUAAACGUUGGGAACUAGAUGUGGGGACCAUUCCACGGUCUCCGUGUCGCAGCUAACGCAUUAAGUUCCCCGCCUGGGGAGUACGGCCGCAGGUAACC